rnacentral:rRNA from 1 species
CAAUAGCGUAUAUUAAAGUUGUUGCAGUUAAAAAGCUCGUAGUUGAAUUUUUGCUUGCCGCCGAUGUCGGAACUUCCGUACGUUCGGCGGCGUGCAUCCUUGGGUGGAACCUGUGUGGCAUUAGGUUGUCGUGCAGGGGAUGCUCAUCGUUUACUGUGAAAAAAUUAGAGUGUUCAAAGCAGGCUUACGCCGUUGAAUAUAUUAGCAUGGAAUAAUAAGAUAGGACCUUGGUACUAUUUUGUUGGUUUGCGCACCGAGGUAGUGAUUAACAGGGACAGUUGGGGGUAUUCGUAUUCCAUUGUCAGAGGUGAAAUUCUUGGAUUUCUGGAAGACGAACUACUGCGAAAGCAUUUACCAAGGAUGUUUUCAUUAA